rnacentral:rRNA from 1 species
AGAGUUUGAUCCUGGCUCAGAAUGAACGCUGGCGGCGUGCUUAACACAUGCAAGUCGCACGAGAAAGCCUUGGCUUGCCAGGGCGAGUAAAGUGGCGCACGGGUGAGUAACGCGUGGGUAAUCUACCCUUGAAUCGGGGAUAACCCUUCGAAAGGAGGGCUAACACCGGAUAAUAUCGGUUUAUUUUYGRAUWUACCGAUCAAAUGUGGCCUCUACAWGUAAGCUACUGUUUGAGGAUGAGCCCGCGUACCAUUAGCUAGUUGGYAGGGUAAAGGCCUACCAAGGCGACGAUGGUUAGCUGGUCUGAGAGGAUGAUCAGCCACACUGGAACUGACACACGGUCCAGACUCCUACGGGAGGCAGCAGUGAGGAAUUUUGCGCAAUGGGGGAAACCCUGACGCAGCAACGCCGCGUGAGUGAUGAAGGCUUUCGGGUCGUAAAGCUCUGUCAAGUGGGAAGAACCUACUUAUGGYUAAUAYCCAUGAGUACUGACGGUACCACUGAAGGAAGCACCGGCUAACUCCGUGCCAGCAGCCGCGGUAAUACGGGGGGUGCAAGCGUUAUUCGGAUUUACUGGGCGUAAAGCGCGCGCAGGCGGUUUUGUAAGUCAGAUGUGAAAGCCCUGGGCUCAACCCGGGAAGUGCAUCUGAUACUGCAAGACUUGAGUAUGGGAGAGGGAAGUGGAAUUCCUGGUGUAGAGGUGAAAUUCGUAGAUAUCAGGAGGAACAUCGGUGGCGAAGGCGACUUCCUGGACCAAUACUGACGCUGAGGCGCGAAGGCGUGGGGAGCAAACAGGAUUAGAUACCCUGGUAGUCC